AAGAUGUCAUUUUUUAUAUUUAAACAAAAUUUUUGUUAUAUACAUUACAUAGAUCUUUCAAAUAAUUGUGAAAUUUUGUUAUGUUACAAGACUUCUUGGUUGAGCAGAGCUCCCAAGGUCAAUUCACACAACAAGGUCGUGAGGAUAUUCUUGCCACAGUUAUUGGACGACCAAAGCACCCAGAACGGGUGCAUGCUGCUGGGAUUGGCAUAGGCAUACAACAGUUCUUUGGGUCUUCCUCGCGUCCAUCUUCAUCCAGUUAAGUAAAGAGUAUGAACAAAAGCUGAAGGAGGAAAUAAGAAAAGAGAUAACGCAAGAGAUCACAAAGAAGGUUCAAGCAGAGUUGUAUGAUGAAGUUCCUAAAAUGGUUGCGCGCCAAUUCCAACAGCAUUAAGAGGAUUAUGACAAUCGCUCUCCGCCAUCUCCUGUAGCGGAUCAUGUGGUGCCCCCUACAGGUAAACUUAAUAAGAAUUUUUGUUUAUUAAUUUACUUUUUGUAUAACCUAACAUUUAAUUUGACAAGUAGAAGUGGUAAAGGAAGUUGCUCAGCUGCCGAUGCCCCAAGGGACGACAUGGACGACACUCGUCCAUGUCAAUUAUAUAUUCUCUCUGAUACCGGGACCAUGCUAGUGGCUCGUGGCACAGUCUAUGAGACAGCCACUGUAGUGCAUGGUGUACAACUAGCAGAAGAUGAGGUCAAGGUCACGGUGGAUGAAGUUGUCGUACCAUAUGUCAUUCUUCCUGUGCCUAUAGAUGAGUUUUUCACUAUGCAAGAGGCAUUUAAGUCCUUCAUCGCGUGGCCUAGACAUUUGGUUGGUGAUGUAUUUGAUCCCUCGACAGGUCAAGAGGGAAGUCCUACACCGAAGAAGAAUCAUUUAUCUGAGGACAACCCUCUUUGUGCGUUAGGCGAGCUUGCUAACAUCAUUUCAGCUGUGUCGAUGAUUGUACAGUGGGAUUCUACUACAUUUGGAAGAGAAGCUCAGAUCCCAUUGUACUUGCAUGAUCGAGCAAGAUGUUAGGGAGCUUGCGUCGAGGAGAGAAGAAAUUAAUAUUACACUCAUUCAGUUGUGGAUGAUGUAUAUGUUUGAUGUUAGUAACAAGAAGGGGUUCAAUGAUGUAUAUGGGUUCAUUGACCCCUUUAUGACUCAUGAAAGAAAUAAAUUUGAUGAUAUCCAAACAUACAUCACCACCUGCUUUGCAAUGGGGAAGGAGAUAUAUUUUCUCCCUUAUAUACUUGGGAGAACACUACUGUCUGGUUUUUUUCCUUGCACAAGUCUCCUCCCAGCCCUCUUAGACAUGUAGUAGAUUGGUAAGAACCUCAAUGUUUCAACUUUCUUUGUUAUAUAAAUGUAUGCUAAAGCAAUUUUUUUUAAUAGUUCCCUUGCAACACAUAUGAUGUUAUCUGGGAGAUCUACUGUUACAGCUAAAAAUCUUGCAUGGGAUGCCCUUAAGGUUUGAUAUUUUAGUCCAUACUUUGUUACAUUUUGUUUCAUUCCAAUGAUGUUACUUAACAUUUUAUAAUUAUGAUGAUAUAUUGUAGUGUAAUAGACAAAC